rnacentral:rRNA from 1 species
UACGUAGGGUGCAAGCGUUGUCCGGAAUUAUUGGGCGUAAAGAGCUCGUAGGCGUUGUGUCGCGUCUGCCGUGAAAACCUGCGGCUUAACCGUGGGCGUGCGGUGGAUACGGGCACACUUGAGUUCGGUAGGGGAGACUGGAAUUCCUGGUGUAGCGGUGGAAUGCGCAGAUAUCAGGAGGAACACCAGUGGCGAAGGCGGGUCUCUGGGCCGAAACUGACGCUGAGGAGCGAAAGCGUGGGGAGCGAACAGGAUUAGAUACCCUGGUAGU